UUCAGCGGUAGUCAGCUGUCCGUGUCAUUACCGUGCCUGACAGUGUUACACUGCUGGGAGAUGAAAAUAUUGUCCAGUCUGUCUGUCAUUGUCACCGUUCUGGAGGCAUUUUGGCAGCAGGGUGGGGCAGUGCUGUGCUUCUCUGAGAUUGUGCUGAGCAGUUAAUAUCCUGCUCAGCACUAGAAUGGGAGCAUACACA
rnacentral:snoRNA from 1 species